UUUUUGCAUAUCAAAAAAGCGGAGGAAAAGAAACCAACAGGGAUUGCCCUAGUAACGGCGAGUGAAGCGGCAACAGCUCAAAUUUGAAAUCUGGCCUCUUUUGGGGUCCGAGUUGUAAUUUGCAGAGGGCGCUUUGGAGUCGGCAGCGGUCCAAGUUCCUUGGAACAGGACGUCACAGAGGGUGAGAAUCCCGUACGUGGUCGCUAGCCUUCUCCGUGUAAAGCCCCUUCGACGAGUCGAGUUGUUUGGGAAUGCAGCUCUAAAUGGGAGGUAAAUUUCUUCUAAAGCUAAAUAUUGGCCAGAGACCGAUAGCGCACAAGUAGAGUGAUCGAAAGAUGAAAAGCACUUUGGAAAGAGAGUCAAAAAGCACGUGAAAUUGUUGAAAGGGAAGCGCUUGCAGCCAGACUUGCCUGUAGUUGCUCAUCCGGGCUUUUGCCCGGUGCACUCUUCUAUAGGCAGGCCAGCAUCAGUUUGGGCGGUUGGAUAAAGGUCUCUGUCAUGUACCUCUCUUCGGGGAGAACUUAUAGGGGAGACGCCAUGCAACCAGCUCAGACUGAGGUCCGCGCAUCGCUAGGAUGCUGCGUAAGUUGGCUGAU
rnacentral:rRNA from 1 species